rnacentral:rRNA from 1 species
UACGGAGGGUGCAAGCGUUAUCCGGAUUCACUGGGUUUAAAGGGAGCGCAGGCGGAUUUGUAAGUCAGUGGUGAAAGGCUUAAGCUUAACUUGGGAACUGCCAUUGAUACUAUAAGUCUUGAAUGUUGUUGAGGUUUGCGGAAUGGGUCAUGUAGCGGUGAAAUGCAUAGAUAUGACGCAGAACACCAAUUGCGAAGGCAGCUUGCUACACUACUAUUGACACUGAGGCACGAAAGCGUGGGGAUCAAACAGG